rfam:Brachypodium distachyon strain Bd21 chromosome 5, whole genome shotgun sequence.
UGCGUACUUCCUCUGUCCUAUAUUAAGUGACUUUUAAUUACAUGUAUCUAGACGUAUUUUAGUGUAUAGAUACAUCCAUAUUUAGACAAAUUUGAGUCACUUAAUAUGGGAUGGAGGGAGUAUGUU